rnacentral:rRNA from 1 species
CGGGACACGUGGUAUCCUGUCUGAAUAUGGGGGGACCAUCCUCCAAGGCUAAAUACUCCUGACUGACCGAUAGUGAACCAGUACCGUGAGGGAAAGGCGAAAAGAACCCCGGCGAGGGGAGUGAAAAAGAACCUGAAACCGUGUACGUACAAGCAGUGGGAGCACAGAGCAAUCUGUGUGACUGCGUACCUUUUGUAUAAUGGGUCAGCGACUUAUAUUCUGUAGCAAGGUUAACCGAAUAGGGGAGCCGAAGGGAAACCGAGUCUUAACUGGGCGUUAAGUUGCAGGGUAUAGACCCGAAACCCGGUGAUCUAGCCAUGGGCAGGUUGAAGGUUGGGUAACACUAACUGGAGGACCGAACCGACUAAUGUUGAAAAAUUAGCGGAUGACUUGUGGCUGGGGGUGAAAGGCCAAUCAAACCGGGAGAUAGCUGGUUCUCCCCGAAAGCUAUUUAGGUAGCGCCUCGUGAAUUCAUCUCCGGGGGUAGAGCACUGUUUCGGCAAGGGGGUCAUCCCGACUUACCAACCCGAUGCAAACUGCGAAUACCGGAGAAUGUUAUCACGGGAGACACACGGCGGGUGCUAACGUCCGUCGUGAAGAGGGAAACAACCCAGACCGCCAGCUAAGGUCCCAAAGUCAUGGUUAAGUGGGAAACGAUGUGGGAAGGCCCAGACAGCCAGGAUGUUGGCUUAGAAGCAGCCAUCAUUUAAAGAAAGCGUAAUAGCUCACUGGUCGAGUCGGCCUGCGCGGAAGAUGUAACGGGGCUAAACCAUGCACCGAAGCUGCGGCAGCGACGCUGAUGCGUUGUUGGGUAGGGGAGCGUUCUGUAAGCCUGUGAAGGUGUGCUGUGAGGCAUGCUGGAGGUAUCAGAAGUGCGAAUGCUGACAUAAGUAACGAUAAAGCGGGUGAAAAGCCCGCUCGCCGGAAGACCAAGGGUUCCUGUCCAACGUUAAUCGGGGCAGGGUGAGUCGACCCCUAAGGCGAGGCCGAAAGGCGUAGUCGAUGGGAAACAGGUUAAUAUUCCUGUACUUGGUGUUACUGCGAAGGGGGGACGGAGAAGGCUAUGUUGGCCGGGCGACGGUUGUCCCGGUUUAAGCGUGUAGGCUGGUUUUCCAGGCAAAUCCGGAAAAUCAAGGCUGAGGCGUGAUGACGAGGCACUACGGUGCUGAAGCAACAAAUGCCCUGCUUCCAGGAAAAGCCUCUAAGCAUCAGGUAACAUCAAAUCGUACCCCAAACCGACACAGGUGGUCAGGUAGAGAAUACCAAGGCGCUUGAGAGAACUCGGGUGAAGGAACUAGGCAAAAUGGUGCCGUAACUUCGGGAGAAGGCACGCUGAUAUGUAGGUGAAGUCCCUCGCGGAUGGAGCUGAAAUCAGUCGAAGAUACCAGCUGGCUGCAACUGUUUAUUAAAAACACAGCACUGUGCAAACACGAAAGUGGACGUAUACGGUGUGACGCCUGCCCGGUGCCGGAAGGUUAAUUGAUGGGGUCAGCGCAAGCGAAGCUCUUGAUCGAAGCCCCGGUAAACGGCGGCCGUAACUAUAACGGUCCUAAGGUAGCGAAAUUCCUUGUCGGGUAAGUUCCGACCUGCACGAAUGGCGUAAUGAUGGCCAGGCUGUCUCCACCCGAGACUCAGUGAAAUUGAACUCGCUGUGAAGAUGCAGUGUACCCGCGGCAAGACGGAAAGACCCCGUGAACCUUUACUAUAGCUUGACACUGAACAUUGAGCCUUGAUGUGUAGGAUAGGUGGGAGGCUUUGAAGUGUGG